GAGUUUGAUCAUGGCUCAGAUUGAACGCUGGCGGCAUGCCUUACACAUGCAAGUCGAACGGCAGCACGGGUGCUUGCACCUGGUGGCGAGUGGCGAACGGGUGAGUAAUACAUCGGAACAUGUCCUGUAGUGGGGGAUAGCCCGGCGAAAGCCGGAUUAAUACCGCAUACGAUCUACGGAUGAAAGCGGGGGACCUUCGGGCCUCGCGCUAUAGGGUUGGCCGAUGGCUGAUUAGCUAGUUGGUGGGGUAAAGGCCUACCAAGGCGACGAUCAGUAGCUGGUCUGAGAGGACGACCAGCCACACUGGGACUGAGACACGGCCCAGACUCCUACGGGAGGCAGCAGUGGGGAAUUUUGGACAAUGGGCGAAAGCCUGAUCCAGCAAUGCCGCGUGUGUGAAGAAGGCCUUCGGGUUGUAAAGCACUUUUGUCCGGAAAGAAAUCCUUGGCUCUAAUACAGUCGGGGGAUGACGGUACCGGAAGAAUAAGCACCGGCUAACUACGUGCCAGCAGCCGCGGUAAUACGUAGGGUGCGAGCGUUAAUCGGAAUUACUGGGCGUAAAGCGUGCGCAGGCGGUUUGCUAAGACCGAUGUGAAAUCCCCGGGCUCAACCUGGGAACUGCAUUGGUGACUGGCAGGCUAGAGUAUGGCAGAGGGGGGUAGAAUUCCACGUGUAGCAGUGAAAUGCGUAGAGAUGUGGAGGAAUACCGAUGGCGAAGGCAGCCCCCUGGGCCAAUACUGACGCUCAUGCACGAAAGCGUGGGGGAGCAAACAGGAUUAGAUACCCUGGUAGUCCACGCCCUAAACGAUGUCAACUAGUUGUUGGGGAUUCAUUUCCUUAGUAACGUAGCUAACGCGUGAAGUUGACCGCCUGGGGAGUACGGUCGCAAGAUUAAAACUCAAAGGAAUUGACGGGGACCCGCACAAGCGGUGGAUGAUGUGGAUUAAUUCGAUGCAACGCGAAAAACCUUACCUACCCUUGACAUGGUCGGAAUCCCGCUGAGAGGUGGGAGUGCUCGAAAGAGAACCGGCGCACAGGUGCUGCAUGGCUGUCGUCAGCUCGUGUCGUGAGAUGUUGGGUUAAGUCCCGCAACGAGCGCAACCCUUGUCCUUAGUUGCUACGCAAGAGCACUCUAAGGAGACUGCCGGUGACAAACCGGAGGAAGGUGGGGAUGACGUCAAGUCCUCAUGGCCCUUAUGGGUAGGGCUUCACACGUCAUACAAUGGUCGGAACAGAGGGUUGCCAACCCGCGAGGGGGAGCUAAUCCCAGAAAACCGAUCGUAGUCCGGAUUGCACUCUGCAACUCGAGUGCAUGAAGCUGGAAUCGCUAGUAAUCGCGGAUCAGCAUGCCGCGGUGAAUACGU
rnacentral:rRNA from 1 species